GGGGGCGAAAGGAUUCGACGGAGGUCAUGAGGCGCAGGUGGCAUGCCGAGAUCCCAUCAACCUCGUUAAACGGUGGGCCAAAUAAGUGCAGAAGCACUCCCUGUUGCUGCCUAAGAAUUAGGCAAGCCGUCUUUCAGGUUCUGGCCUGUGGGACCUGAACAGGCGUCGGAAAACAGGCUGGCCAACCUGGUUCGCCCUGAGCCAGGAAGGCGAGAGACGAUCAGGGCUGGCGGCCUGCGAGCUUGCCUCUUCGGCUUUCAGGCCGCGAGAAAAAAAGAAGAGGCUGAGCAUGGAGGACACCUGGCGCUGAAGAUCUUCGGACGCGGGUUCGAUUCCCGCCGCCUCCACCA
rnacentral:tmRNA from 1 species